rnacentral:rRNA from 1 species
UGGCGGCAUGCCUUACACAUGCAAGUCGAACGGCAGCAUGGAGAGCUUGCUCUCUGAUGGCGAGUGGCGAACGGGUGAGUAAUACAUCGGAACGUGUCCGUUUGUGGGGGACAACCGUCCGAAAGGAUGGCUAAUACCGCAUAAGACCUGAGGGUGAAAGCCGGGGACCGCAAGGCCCGGCGCAGACGGAGCGGCCGAUGAUUGAUUAGCUAGUUGGGGAGGUAAAGGCUCACCAAGGCGACGAUCAAUAGCUGGUCUGAGAGGACGACCAGCCACACUGGAACUGAGACACGGUCCAGACUCCUACGGGAGGCAGCAGUGGGGAAUUUUGGACAAUGGGGGCAACCCUGAUCCAGCCAUGCCGCGUGCGGGAAGAAGGCCUUCGGGUUGUAAACCGCUUUUGUCAGGGACGAAAAGCUCCGGAGUAAUAUGCCGGAGUGCUGACGGUACCUGAAGAAUAAGCACCGGCUAACUACGUGCCAGCAGCCGCGGUAAUACGUAGGGUGCGAGCGUUAAUCGGAAUUACUGGGC